rnacentral:rRNA from 1 species
UACGUAGGGUGCGAGCGUUACUCGGAAUUACUGGGCGUAAAGCGUGCGCAGGCGGUUCGUUGUGUCGGCGGUGAAAGCCCCGGGCUCAACCUGGGAAUGGCCGUUGAAACUGGCGAACUGGAGUGUGGCAGAGGGGGGUGGAAUUCCGCGUGUAGCAGUGAAAUGCGUAGAGAUGCGGAGGAACACCGAUGGCGAAGGCAGCCCCCUGGGCUGACACUGACGUUCAGGCACGAAAGCGUGGGGAGCAAACAGG